GUAGGUGAACCUGCGGAAGGAUCAUUACCGAUGUUUGGUUUUAUAAUAAAGCUGAAUUUACUUUUUGUGCACUGUAUAUUUCUUGCCUUAACUUUGUCUGACCCAAAAAAAAAUAUCGUUCUGAAGAGAACGUGAAUGAUAACGAAAUACAACUUUUAACAAUGGAUCUCUUGGCUCUCGCAUCGAUGAAGAACGCAGCAUCUGACUGACUUGGGAUGCAU
rnacentral:misc_RNA from 1 species